rnacentral:rRNA from 1 species
CCUAGGGGCGGCAGCAGUGGGGAAUAUUGGACAAUGGGCGAAAGCCUGAUCCAGCCAUGCCGCGUGUGUGAAGAAGGCCUUCGGGUUGUAAAGCACUUUCAGUGGGGAAGAAAGCCUUGGGGCUAAUACCCUCGAGGAAGGACAUCACCCACAGAAGAAGCACCGGCUAACUCCGUGCCAGCAGCCGCGGUAAUACGGAGGGUGCGAGCGUUAAUCGGAAUUACUGGGCGUAAAGCGCGCGUAGGCGGUCUGAUAAGCCGGUUGUGAAAGCCCCGGGCUCAACCUGGGAACGGCAUCCGGAACUGUCAGGCUAGAGUGCAGGAGAGGAAGGUAGAAUUCCCGGUGUAGCGGUGAAAUGCGUAGAGAUCGGGAGGAAUACCAGUGGCGAAGGCGGCCUUCUGGACUGACACUGACGCUGAGGUGCGAAAGCGUGGGUAGCAAACAGGAUUAGAUACCCCAGUAGUC